GCCUGUGCCUCAGAGGCCUUCUGAAGGGCAUGGAGAUGUGCCAUGCUGAAGAGAUUUCUAUAUACAUGUAAGAAAAGAAACAGAAUUCAGAUAACAACUCUUGAGAAGACUCAGCUCAAUGAGCUGCUCAUUCACUACUGAUCUGAUAUAUAGCUAUUUAUAAUAUAGCUAUAAAGUGACUUUCUAGAAAGAUUUACUGCUGCUGUGUCUGAAAGACUUUAUAAAUAGAGAAGAAGAGACUAUUCUUUUAAUUUAUUGAGAGAUUCAAUAACACUCAUUAUAAAAAAAGAAUAAGAUAAAGAAAAAUUAGAAAAGAGAAGUCUAAGAAAAAGAAAAGAAGCACAGUGCUGUUCAGUUAUAUAAUCCUUUAAUUGAAAAUCAGACAGCUGAAAAAAAAAAAGAGAAAAUCAAUAUAAAAAAGAAAGAA
rnacentral:sRNA from 1 species